UUUGGCUCAGUGAAGCUUUUGGUCUGUUCCUGUGAGCUGGUGCCUAGGGAACCGGUGUGAGAACUGAUGUGGAGAUAGUUCAGUGCUUUGACUGCCACCUACUGCUUGCUGCUUACACACCAGAUGCACUGCCUCAGCAGUAAGCAACUGUUCUGGUGCAGCGUGGGAACUGCUGUGCUUGUCAAGGCAACUAGUCCUCUGUGGAACCAGCUUCCCAAGAUCUUCUACUGAGUUUAUUGAGCUGGUGUAUUAGAUUUCCUGCUGCAUGAGCAAGAAGAUUAUGGUGGCUUACGUCUAAGUACACUUUGGGGAGGCAUUUUGUAUUUUCUCUAUAAAUAGUCUUUCUAAAACACAAUUGUGAAACUAUUAAUGUUUAUAUCACAUUAUACAUCUCUCUAAGUUUACUGUGCUGAGUAUACAGGGUUGU